rnacentral:lncRNA from 1 species
GACUUAAGAUGGCGGCGUUUGCACGGAGUGCAAUCACUGCGUCCUUACGGGGGUUGCAAGGCGUCCGAAUCUCUUCAAAAUAUCGGAGAAUAAUUUCUUUCUCGCUGAUCGCCUAACUUCUACUGACGAAGCUUGGAAGUUGCAGAAGAUGGAGUUCGCUCUUGUUGCCCAGGCUGGAAUGCAAUGGCAUGACCUUGGCUCACUGCAACCUCUGCCUCCCCAGUUCAAGUGGUUCUCCUGCCUCAGCCUCCCGAGUAGCUGAGAUUACAGGUACUGGCUCCUGUAUCACCCAGCUCUGGAGUUGAAAGAGCUCUUCAUUCCUGAGUCUCCUGUACCACUGAGAAUAGGCUGGAGUGCAGUGGCGCAAUCUCGGCUCUCUGCAACCUUCACCUCCCGUGUUCAAGUGAUUCUCCUGCCUCAGCCUCCUGAAUACCUGAGAUUACAAGCAUGCACCACCACGCCCGUCUAAUUUUGUAUUUUCACUAGAGACGGGGUUUCUCCAUGUUGGUCAGGCUGGUCUCGAACUCCCGACCUCAGGUGAUCCGCCCGCCUCAGCCUCCCAAAGUGCUGGGAUUACAGGCAUGAGCCACCGCGUCCAGCAAGAAUAGGUGAUUUUCAAACUUGGAAACAUUCAGAAGUUAUCGCCUCAGUUUCAGAUUGAGUAGUCUCAAAGAGAUUACAGACAUCUACCACAAAUUCUCUACUUGGUGUGGUGCAAAAUCAGUAUGAUGUAAACUUUGUCUCUCAGUUUCUUCAAAGGAA